rnacentral:sRNA from 1 species
UUUACGACAUACCAUAGUCGGCGCGAACAACAAUAUGGAGAAGAAAGGAGAAAUCCGAAAGGAGAAAGGGUCGCUUCGUUUCAAAGCGAUGUGAACAGCAGUACUAGUCCUCCGAAAAUUACAACUCAUUUCUGAGAGAUGAGGAAAGAUGGGGAAACAAUUCAAACAAAAUAACCGCCAACACAAUUAUUUUAGAACUGCAACUAACGAGCGAAAUGAGUCAGAGGAAAUUCCAGUAGAGAAAAUCGAGAUAGUUUACAGCAAAAAUGUGGUAAUUGCCACAUUACCCAGAUAACUGCAGCAUGAUGAGAAGAUCACUGGCACGGUUUUGUCCAAACAAAAUUUCCAAUUUCUUCCUCUGCAUCUGAAGUGACAGUCAUAACUGUGAAAGAUGGUCAAUGUUCCACAGAGGCAAACCUGUUCAAUCCAGCAAAUUUCCUCUGCUUUAGAGUACUUCAUUGACUUCAUUGACAAGGAAAUUGAGCCAUCCUUACUGGGCAUAGCAUCAAGUCUUACUGGGCAUAUCAUCAAGUCUUAAGACAGCCACGUUUUAGUCAACACCAUGUAAGCAGUUGCAAAGAUGGAUGCUUUUAAAAAACAUGUUGCAGGAUUUGUUGAUAAUUGAAAGCUUUUGUUUAGGUCACAAUACCCAACGUUGCCACCCUAUACCCAACAGACUUUAGUUUCAUCUUCUUACAUUGUAACUAUGCUGCUCAUGAUGCUUUACAAGAUGUCAUAUCCCUUCAAAGACUUGAUCAGUCAAUUUUGAUUCACAUAAUAGUUAGAAGGCAUCAUUCUAUUUGCUAAGUGCAACUUUUUCACAUGAACAUUUGUCAAUGAAGAGAAUCGCAAAGUGUACAGAUAGAAAAAUAGCUGCCAGUGACUUGAACUAUCCAGUUCUAAAGCUAGCAUUUAGUAGAGGAAGAGGGCACACAACAAGUUUUGUCAAAAGAGUGUGGAAGUGGACCAAGAGUAACAAAGUCAUCAAAGAUCAGUACAUUCGCUUGCUGAACAUUUUGGAUAUACUUUUAUAAGUGAUAGUUAAAGCUCAAUAUAUCAGAAGUGAUAGUUAAAGUUCAUUAUAUCAGAAUUGUAUAUACUGCCUUUGAUUUUCAUUAUUUCUGAACUAGUUAUUAGUUCCAAUACAUGUAUGUACUGUAUGAUGUAACACGUACAACACAACAACCCCCCCCCCCCCCCAAAAAAAAAAUAAUAAUAAUCCUGAUAAAGAAAAAUUGAUAAAUUCUACUGAUAGUAUAUUUUGAAUCACUCAUCGCUAUGAAGUUUUCAAUUUAUGUCUAUAUUCUAGCUACCUGAAUAGAAUGAUUUUGUCAUUCAGGGAAUUUUCAUAAAACAAAUGUUUUUCAACUGAUGAAGUAAUGUGCAACUUUUUAUAUCAAUAGACAAGACAUUAUUGUAUUGCAACCAUAUAUUGAUGUGUGUUCAUUUACAAUAUAACCUAACACUUUAUUAGAAAAUAUCAUACAUGUAAUUAUAAGUAUAUGAACUAUCAAUAUAUGCUCUGACCUAGAAUGCAUAUAUACUUGUUAAAACUUAUUGAUCAGACAUCAAUCCAUUUUGAAGUUGCAUUUUUUUCAUUCCAUGUCAUCAUUGCUUGCAUUCAUUGAGAAAACGCUCUCAAUCAAAAUCUAUGCAUCUAGCUGCUUUUUUUUUUCAAAGAAAAAUAUCAAAUGAAUUUUUAAUUUC